UAUCCUAGUGGCGAACGGGUGAGUAACGCGUGAGUAACCUGCCUCAUACAACGGGAUACCCGAGGGAAACUUCGGUUAAUACGGUAUAAGACCACACUACCGCAUGGUAGAGGGGUAAAAGGGGCAACCUGGUAUGAGAUGGACUCGCGUCGCAUUAGCUAGUUGGUGAGGUAACGGCCCACCAAGGCGACGAUGCGUAGCCGACCUGAGAGGGUGAUCGGCCACAUUGGGACUGAGAUACGGCCCAGACUCCUACGGGAGGCAGCAG
rnacentral:rRNA from 1 species